AAAAUAAACACAAAAGACACUCCAAGCAUUUGCACAUGUCAUGUGACGAAUUAAAAUAUAGCUCUGAGUAAAAUUACCGAUAGAUUGUAGACGAAAGAGGGGAUGCCUUCUGGGGCAUCCCCAAGCUUGGACGCUUGAGUCUUCCUUGAAUAUUACCUUGGGGUGCCUCGGGCAUCCCCAAGCUUAGCCUCUUGCCUCUCCAUAUUCCUUCAUCCAUCGUGCUCUCACCCAAAACUUGAAAACUUCAAUCACAUAAAACUCAACAAAACUUCGUGAGAUCCGUUAGUAUAAUAAAAUAAAUCACCACUUCAAGUACUGUUGUGAACUCAUUAUAAAUUCAUAUUAGAAUUAUAUCUACUGUAAUCCAACUUCACCAUGGUUCAUACCCCCUGAUACUACCCAUAGAUUCAUCAGAAUAAGAGAACAAUGCAUAGAAAACAGAAUCUGUCAAAACAGAACAGUCUGUAGCAAUCUGUAUAUUCUGUAUACCUAUGAUAUCUCAAAAAAUCUGAAAAAUUACAAACGUCUGGAAACUUUGCAUAUAAAUCAGCAUAAAAAAGAAUCAACUCAAAAUAUCUUCCAGAAUAAAAAUGAAAAUUAAUUUUGUGAGAAGAAAGUUUCUGUCUUUUCUCAGCAUGAUCAAACAACCAUCACCCAAACUAAUCGUAAAGGAUUUGCUUGGCACAUUAUUUUUGAAAACACAAAGGAAUUGUACAAGGGGAUAAUUAUUUUUGUGAGAAACUUCCAUGAAAAAUUCUACAUUGUUUCCAUGAGCAUGAACACAAGUGUUCAAGGUCGACCCUCACUUCCACAAUGCAUGACCUUUCAAUCACUUCUCUUUUUGAAAAAGUUUUAAGUUCCCCUCUAUAUUUUUGUUUUUAUAAAACUAAAUAAAAGCACUCAACAUAAAUAAAUGACUCUCUAAAACUUCCGGGUUGUCUCCCAGGCAGCGCUUUCUUUAUAGCCAUUAAGCUAGGCAUAAAGUGCUCAAGUAAUGGAUCCACCCGGAUCCCAAGGUAUAUCAAAGCCAAUUUUAAUUAGCAAUGAUUUGAAAUUUAGUAGUGAGCACAAGGUAACAUAUAUCAUGCAAUGACGAAGUCUAACUCUCUUCCUAUGCAUUGGCAUGUAAUAAAAGAACAAUUCAUGCACACCAAGUAAAGGCCAAUACAUAGCAUAAGCAGAUUCUUGCAAUUUUAUCGAAUUGGAAACAUAGAGAGGUGGAGAUGUAGUUCCUCUCUCAUAAUAAUUGCAAGUAGGAGCAUUAAGAACAUGCAUAUUAUAUUCAUCAAAAUAAUCAUGUGUAACAUAAGGAACUAUAGCUAGCUCAUCUUCAUAAGCAUCAUUCAUAUUGGCAUCAUGGCCACAAGCGUAGCAAGCAUCAAGUUCAUCAAAAAGGGAUAUUUCAAACGAAUCCAAGGGAUCAUAACAAUCAUCAUAGCAUUCAUCCUUCGGUAAGAACGAAGGGAAAUUAAACAAUGUAUGAGUUGAAUAGUUACUCUUAUUAGAAGGUGGACACGGGUAGCUAGUCCGUUCUUCCUCCUUUUGUUAUUCGCUCUCCUCGUCAUCCUUUUCAUCUAAUGAGGUCACAAUUUCAGCAUUUUCUUCUUCCAUAGUUUCCUACAAAAUAAUAGUCUCUUCUUGGGCAGCAUAGGAUUUCUCCUUAAAUCGUUCAAUAUGGGCAUUAUAUUCAUAAUUAGUAUAACAAUAACGAAGCAUAGCCAAAUUUUCAGAUCGAUAAGGAGCAUCAUCAUUAUCAUCAUACCUUUUAAACAGAGCCUCAAUUUCAUAAGCACCCAUAAAAGCAACAAACUCUUCUAUUUGAUCCACAUCAUA
rnacentral:lncRNA from 1 species